rnacentral:rRNA from 1 species
GACGAACGCUGGCGGCGUGCUUAACACAUGCAAGUCGAACGGUGAAGCGCCUUCCUUUUUGGUGGGUGUGGAUGAGUGGCGAACGGGUGAGUAACACGUGAGUAACCUGCCCCCUUCUUCUGGAUAACCGCAUGAAAGUGUGGCUAAUACGGGAUAUUCUGGGUCUGUCGCAUGAUGGGUCUGGGAAAGAUAUUGUUUCGGUGGGGGAUGGGCUCGCGGCCUAUCAGCUUGUUGGUGGGGUGAUGGCCUACCAAGGCGGUGACGGGUAGCCGGCCUGAGAGGGUGGACGGUCACACUGGGACUGAGACACGGCCCAGAGUCCUACGGGAGGCAGCAGUGGGGAAUAUUGCACAAUGGGCGCAAGCCUGAUGCAGCGACGCCGCGUGAGGGAUGGAGGCCUUCGGGUUGUGAACCUCUUUCGCCAGUGAAGCAGGCCUGCCUCGUUUGUGGGUGGGUUGACGGUAGCUGGAUAAGAAGCGCCGGCUAACUACGU